rnacentral:rRNA from 1 species
GGAGCUUGCUCCUUUGACGUUAGCGGCGGACGGGUGAGUAACACGUGGGUAACCUACCUAUAAGACUGGGAUAACUUCGGGAAACCGGAGCUAAUACCGGAUAACAUUUGGAACCGCAUGGUUCUAAAGUGAAAGAUGGUUUUGCUAUCACUUAUAGAUGGACCCGCGCCGUAUUAGCUAGUUGGUAAGGUAACGGCUUACCAAGGCGACGAUACGUAGCCGACCUGAGAGGGUGAUCGGCCACACUGGAACUGAGACACGGUCCAGACUCCUACGGGAGGCAGCAGUAGGGAAUCUUCCGCAAUGGGCGAAAGCCUGACGGAGCAACGCCGCGUGAGUGAUGAAGGGUUUCGGCUCGUAAAACUCUGUUAUUAGGGAAGAACAAAUGUGUAAGUAACUGUGCACGUCUUGACGGUACCUAAUCAGAAAGCCACGGCUAACUACGUGCCAGCAGCCGCGGUAAUACGUAGGUGGCAAGCGUUAUCCGGAAUUAUUGGGCGUAAAGCGCGCGUAGGCGGUUUCUUAAGUCUGAUGUGAAAGCCCACGGCUCAACCGUGGAGGGUCAUUGGAAACUGGGAAACUUGAGUGCAGAAGAGGAAAGUGGAAUUCCAUGUGUAGCGGUGAAAUGCGCAGAGAUAUGGAGGAACACCAGUGGCGAAGGCGACUUUCUGGUCUGUAACUGACGCUGAUGUGCGAAAGCGUGGGGAUCAAACAGGAUUAGAUACCCUGGUAGUCCACGCCGUAAACGAUGAGUGCUAAGUGUUAGGGGGUUUCCGCCCCUUAGUGCUGCAGCUAACGCAUUAAGCACUCCGCCUGGGGAGUACGACCGCAAGGUUGAAACUCAAAGGAAUUGACGGGGACCCGCACAAGCGGUGGAGCAUGUGGUUUAAUUCGAAGCAACGCGAAGAACCUUACCAAAUCUUGACAUCCUUUGAAAACUCUAGAGAUAGAGCCUUCCCCUUCGGGGGACAAAGUGACAGGUGGUGCAUGGUUGUCGUCAGCUCGUGUCGUGAGAUGUUGGGUUAAGUCCCGCAACGAGCGCAACCCUUAAGCUUAGUUGCCAUCAUUAAGUUGGGCACUCUAGGUUGACUGCCGGUGACAAACCGGAGGAAGGUGGGGAUGACGUCAAAUCAUCAUGCCCCUUAUGAUUUGGGCUACACACGUGCUACAAUGGACAAUACAAAGGGCAGCUAAACCGCGAGGUCAUGCAAAUCCCAUAAAGUUGUUCUCAGUUCGGAUUGUAGUCUGCAACUCGACUACAUGAAGCUGGAAUCGCUAGUAAUCGUAGAUCAGCAUGCUACGGUGAAUACGUUCCCGGGUCUUGUACACACCGCCCGUCACACCACGAGAGUUUGUAACACCCGAAGCCGGUGGAGUAACCAUUUAUGGAGCUAGCCGUCG